rnacentral:lncRNA from 1 species
GGAAGAUCUUCGGGGUCUUCGGGUCACCUCUCACACCUGUGGGCACUCUCUUCCCAGGGAUGGACAUAUUUACUCUUGGACUCUGAACUGCCACUGCCCACGUCGGGGAGCCUGUACCCUUAUGUAGAAAUUAUCCUUGCAGACUCCUUCCCACAUCCUUAGAGAUAGGCAGCCACAGGACUGUGCCUAGAAGACUCAAGCGGCAGCCAUGCCAGAGAAGAAAUGAUGAACAGGUAACCCAGGGCUCACUCAUCUUCUUGAAAAAAAAAGUGUUGCUUCAGUCCAGAAGGCAACAGAAAACCCAGCACUGAGGGGAGCUCAGGCAGAGGAAGGAGGAAUGGAGAAAGAAACUCGGAGAGAUGGAUAUUACACUGUUAUUGUCCCUGAUCUCCCAAACAUUCCUAUGAGGUGGACAUUUUUAUUCUCAGUUUACACAUGGAAGGACCAAG